rnacentral:lncRNA from 1 species
UUAAUGGUUACUUGCUUAUGUGUUAUGUUAAUAGAUAAUAUUUGAUAAAUGCUGUGUCUAUGCUUUACAUAUGAUGUAAUCACUCACGGAUACAUGUAAUAUUGCAGGGAACGGAGACAAUCUUGCCUAACUGGAGUGGUAAGAGACAAAAGACUCAUCGAAGUGACGAAGCACGUGUGCACAGAUCGUGAAAUGUUGUAGUCAUUGUCUUCUACUUUGAUUAUAAUAAGUAUUAUUUUAGUUUUCUUGAAUACUGAAUGUUUGUGGGAUAUUCCAUUCUGUUAAAGAUAAUUAUUUCAUGAUAUUAAAACUCCCUUUGGAAGCAGGGUUUUACACUUGUAUCCGUGACUCCUUUGACCAAAUCAGCACACAUCCUAAGCAUCAACAUGACAAUUAGCUAGCAAACAAAAAAUAAACUUCAGAUUCUCUAGAUUAAAAACAAUUAGCUACGAAAAAACGACAGAUUAAAAAGGAACACUUUACUUUUCUCUAGAUUCUUAACGGUAUAAGACGACAGAGUGAUUCGGAUUCUGUGAGUCAGCUGCUGCGGCUCUUCACAGCUCACGCCAUGCUUUCUGGUUUUCUCCGCUUGGGAUUCGAGAUUCUCUACUGAUUUCUGCUUGCCGCCGUCGUUUUAUUGGGUUGCAGUUUUAUAAACCCUCUUUGAACUUUAAACAUGGACCUUUAAAGGGCUUUGGGCUCUGAGAUUUGGGCCUGGGAUUAAGUGGAUUAAUAUGG